rnacentral:tRNA from 1 species
GCGGGGCCGGGCGGGUCUCAGCAGCCGGGCCCGUCGUCGGCUGGCCGUCGGCCCCGGCGCCACCCGCGGUCGCCUCGCGGGCACCGCG